ACAUACGACCAUACCUACCAGAAAAUACGGGAUCCCGUCCGCUCUCCCAUAGUCAAGCUGGUAAGGGGCGGAUUAGUAGUUGGGUCGGUGACGACCAGCGAAUCCCCGCUGUUGUAUGUU
rfam:Fusarium graminearum chromosome 2, complete genome